rnacentral:rRNA from 1 species
AGUCAUAUGCUUGUCUCAAAGAUUAAGCCAUGCAUGUCUAAGUUCACACCCUCGUACGGUGAAACCGCGAAUGGCUCAUUAAAUCAGUCGAGGUUCCUUAGAUGAUCCAAUUCUACUUGGAUAACUGUGGUAAUUCUAGAGCUAAUACAUGCUGUGCCGCUCCGACCCUCACGGGAAAGAGCGCUUUUAUUAGUUCAAAACCAGUCGGGGCCUUCGGGUCCCGUCCUUUGGUGACUCUGGAUAACUUUGUGCCGAUCGCAUGGCCACGAGCCGGCGACACAUCUUUCAAAUGUCUGCCCUAUCAAAUGUCGAUGGUCGGUGAUCUGCCUACCAUGUUGUCUACGGGUAGCGGGGAAUCGGGGUUCGAUUCCGGAGAGGGAGCAUGAGAAACGGCUACCACAUCCAAGGAAGGCAGCAGGCGCGCAACUUACCCACUCCUGGCACGGGGAGGUAGUGACGAAAAAUAACAAUACGGAACUCGAAAGAGGCUUCGUAAUUGGAAUGAGUACACUUUAAACCCUUUAACGAGGAUCUAUUGGAGGGCAAGUCUGGUGCCAGCAGCCGCGGUAAUUCCAGCUCCAAUAGCGUAUACUAAAGUUGUUGCGAUUAAAAAGCUCGUAGUUGGAUCUCAGGCAUGGGCGCGCGGUCCGUCUCGCGACGGUUACUGCGUGAAUUGUUUGUCCCCAUCCUAGGCUUCCCGGUUGUUUAGCCCAUGGUGCUCUUGACUGAGCGUUUUGGGUGGCCGGAACGUUUACUUUGAAGAAAUUAGAGUGUUCAAGGCAGGCUUGCGGCCUGAAUAAUGUUGCAUGGAAUAAUGGAAUAGGACCUCGGUUCUAUUUUGCUGGUUUUCGGAAGACGAGGUAAUGAUUAAGAGGGACAGACGGGGGCAUCCGUAUUGCGGUGUUAGAGGUGAAAUUCUUGGAUCAUCGCAAGACGAACAACUGCGAAAGCAUUUGCCAAGAAUGUUUUC